rnacentral:rRNA from 1 species
UGAGGAAUAUUGGUCAAUGGCCGGAAGGCUGAACCAGCCAAGCCGCGUGAAGGACGAAGGUGCCAAGCAUUGUAAACUUCUUUUGUCAAGGGACAAAAUCAGGCUCGAGAGCCUGACCGAGGGUACUUGAAGAAAAAGCAUCGGCUAACUCCGUGCCAGCAGCCCGGUAAUAGAUGUCU